rnacentral:tRNA from 5 species
CGGUUAUCUGCGCGGGGUCCUCGGCGGGGUCCGGUCACUGACCGGGCUCGGCGGGGCCUCCGGGGAGGAGCACCAGUUCGAGUUCAGCGGGGCCGG